UACAGGGGGUGCAAACGUUGCUCGGAAUCAUUGGGCGUAAAGCGCACGUAGGCGGGUUGUUAAGUCAGGGGUGAAAUCCUGGAGCUCAACUCCAGAACUGCCUUUGAUACUGGCAACCUAGAGACUGGAAGAGGUUAGUGGAAUUCCCAGUGUAGAGGUGAAAUUCGUAGAUAUUGGGAAGAACACCAGUGGCGAAGGCGGCUAACUGGUCCAGCACUGACGCUGAGGUGCGAAAGCGUGGGGAGCAAACAGG
rnacentral:rRNA from 1 species